UUUAAAUAUAUUUAUUAUUUCUGUGUGUUUUGUGUAGCAACAAGUCUCACAAUUGAAUCAAUUGCUCACAUCGUCGGGGCAAUCGGGAAAUUAUGUAAACGCGAACAAAUCCGCACAACCAAACAUGGCGAAGAUGGUAGAUCUAGUACCAAACCCAUUUACAUAUCAAAACACUCUAUCGAAUAACAAUGCAGGCGGAAAAACAAACGAUGAUAUAAUUGAAGUGAUACCUACUACAAGUAACAUUGGUGUGUCAAACGUACAAGGAGCGAUACAACCAACUAAUAACAAUAAGAAUCAAGAGGAGUAGAAUUCCUUCCCUUAUUAAUAAUUCGUAUGAAUUAUACAAUGGUAUCAUUGGUAAGUGAUAUGGAAGUUGAUACACUGUAAGGCGAAAUGCAAGUCGUAUACGAAGGUAUUAUUUACAUUUCACAUAUUGAUUUCCUAUGUAAUAUAAAAAACUGUUAUGGUCUUUUUUGUAUUAUUAAGUUCGAUUAUAUAUUAUUAGUUUCGUGUAUGUGUAAACCAUAAUUGGCUUAUUUAUGUUGUCAAAAUUUAUUGCGUACAGAUUAUGUAGUGCAAAAUAACGUAGUCAAGUGUAUUUGAAAAUGUAUUUCUCGCGAGCUUUUUGCAGAAUGAGGCUUUACUUUAUAUAAGUAAUGUCUUUACUUUACAUAAGAGGCAUAUUUAGGAAAACGUCUAUAUACAUUACAGUUUUUUAAUCCAUUGUUAAAGUACAUUUAAUCUAUCUUCAUUUUUUGUCUCAUUAGAUAUAUAUUUAUUAUUAGAUGUGUAUAUAUAGAGUAUCUAUUUUCCAAACAUUUUUAUAGAUAUAUACACAUACAUUUACAA